CGAUGAAAAACCUUUUUUCUGAGGUGUGGCUCGCACCUGUCCAACUAAACUUGAGCUACCUUUUUUAUACACGGUUGCAUCGGUCGGCCUGUCCAACAGUGCGCGCGAAAUUUAUUUUCCGCCGCGCUGAGCAGACGGGUCGGCACUUUACGCAGACACUUUUGAUAAUCUAGGAUUUGAAUGAAAGUUCAUUUUUAUGAUGGAUCCGACUGGUAAUGCGGUCGUCUAAAUCUAAAAAA
rnacentral:misc_RNA from 1 species